rnacentral:snRNA from 1 species
UGAUGUGAGUGCAAUCUGGCUGCAAUAUCUGUCACCAUUGAUUGCCAGGAUUGAUCUUGCUGAUUAGGCUGGUGUCCCCCACCUACCUCACUAUUCCAUGUGUCCCCCCGCAAAGCUGCAUGACUGGAGGAAGAGAACAGCCACCUUAGAUAGGAGGAGGACACCAUUCUUCAGUCAAGAGUAUACGAACGGUAGGGAUUUUGUCAUUCUUGUCCACUGCUCCUCAGAAGUUAUUUUUAAAAGAUAGCACCCUUUACCUAGUUUGAUACCCUUGGAGGGUGUCCUUUAUA